rnacentral:tRNA from 1 species
UUGCUCGUUAGCAUAGUGGUAAUGCAAUCGGCUGAUAACCGAUAGAGGGGUGUUCAAUUCACUCACGAGCAACCAA